rnacentral:ncRNA from 1 species
AUAAAUAAAUUUUUUAUAGUUUUAAUAAUUUAUUUAAAGUUUAUUUUACAUAUAAAUUUUAGUAUUAAUUUUACUUUAUUUUAAUAAUAAUUUAAUUGAUUUGUAGUAAUUAAUAUUAAACAAUUUAAGUAAUUAAGAUUUAGUAAUAUUUAAUAUUAAUAACAAAUUUUGUGCCAGCAGUUGCGGUUAAACAAAAGUUAAAUUUAAAUUUUAUUAGUUAUUAAUAAAUAAUUAAAUUUUAAAAAAUAAUUUAUUUUAUUUUUAAUAAAAAUAAUAUAAAUUUUAAAUUAUUAAGUGAAAUUUUAAUUUAAUUAAAUAUUAUUGUUAGUUUAUGAUUUAAAAAAUUUUAUAAAAAACUAGGAUUAGAUACCCUAUUAUUAAAAUUUAAAUUAAUAAUACUAAAAUAGUAAAUAAUUAUUUAUUGAAACUUAAAUAAUUUGGCGGUAUUUUAGUUCAUUUAGAGGAAUCUGUUUAAUAAUUGAUAAUCCACGAAUAAAUUUACUUAAUUUUUUAUUUUGUAUAUCGUUGUUAAAAAAAUAUUUUUUAAUAAUAAUAAUAUUUAAAAAUUUUAAUUAAAAAUUAAAUCAGAUCAAGAUGCAGAUUAUAAUUAAGAAUAUAAUGGAUUACAAUAAAUUUAUUUAUAUGAAUAUUAAUUUGUAAAAUUUAAUUGAAGGUGGAUUUAAAUGUAAUUUUAUUUAGUUUAAUAAAAUGAUUGAAAAUUAAGAUAUGUACAUAUUGCCCGUCGCUUUCAUAUGGAUAAAAGUUGGAAUAAGUCGUAACAAAGUAGAGGUACUGGAAAGUGUUUCUAGAAAGAA